UUCUUUAAGCUUUAAUUUAAAGUAAAACCUGCUCCAUGUUAAUAUAAAUAGCCGCAGUUUCUGUGCUAAGGUAGCGUAAUCAUUAGUCUUCUAAUUUAAGAAUAGAAUGAAAGGUUAAACGUAAUUUUUUCUGUCUCUUAAACCUAACAAUAAUUUUAUACACUAGUUAAAAAUCCAGUUUACAAAAAUAGGACGACAAGACCCUACUAAACUUAUAAUAUUUUAUUGGGGCGAUAAACAAAAAAAACCUUAAAUUCAAUCCAAACCAAUCUAUUUUUAAUAAUAAAGAUAUAGUUACUAUAGGGAUAACAGCGCUACUCCUUCUUAAAGUUCAAAUUGAAAAAGGAAUCUACGACCUCGAUGUUGAAUUAAUAAAUUCUUCUAAAAGCAAAAUUUUAGAUAGAUAGUCUGUUCGACUUUUAAAAAAUU
rnacentral:rRNA from 1 species